CCUACGGGUGGCAGCAGUGAGGAAUAUUGGUCAAUGGGCGCGAGCCUGAACCAGCCAAGUAGCGUGAAGGAUGACUGCCCUACGGGUUGUAAACUUCUUUUAUAAAGGAAUAAAGUGAGGCACGUGUGCCUUUUUGUAUGUACUUUAUGAGUAAGGAUCGGCUAACUCCGUGCCAGCAGCCGCGGUAAUACGGAGGAUCCGAGCGUUAUCCGGAUUUAUUGGGUUUAAAGGGAGCGUAGAUGGGUUGUUAAGUCAGUUGUGAAAGUUUGCGGCUCAACCGUAAAAUUGCAAUUGAUACUGGCAGUCUUGAGUACAGUUGAGGUAGGCGGAAUUCGUGGUGUAGCGGUGAAAUGCUUAGAUAUCACGAAGAACUCCGAUCGCGAAGGCAUUGUACCGGAGCAAGACUGACGCUGAGGCUCGAAAGUGCGGGUAUCAAACAGGAUUAGAUACCCGUGUAGUC
rnacentral:rRNA from 1 species